CGAAGAACCUUACCAGGUCUUGACAUCCAGUGCAAACCUAAGAGAUUAGGUGUUCCCUUCGGGGACGCUGAGACAGGUGGUGCAUGGCUGUCGUCAGCUCGUGUCGUGAGAUGUUGGGUUAAGUCCCGCAACGAGCGCAACCCUUGUCAUUAGUUGCCAUCAUUAAGUUGGGCACUCUAAUGAGACUGCCGGUGACAAACCGGAGGAAGGUGGGGAUGACGUCAAGUCAUCAUGCCCCUUAUGACCUGGGCUACACACGUGCUACAAUGGACGGUACAACGAGAAGCGAACCUGCGAAGGCAAGCGGAUCUCUUAAAGCCGUUCUCAGUUCGGACUGUAGGCUGCAACUCGCCUACACGAAGCUGGAAUCGCUAGUAAUCGCGGAUCAGCACGCCGCGGUGAAUACGUUCCCGGGCCUUGUACACACCGCCCGUCACACCAUGAGAGUCUGUAACACCCAAAGCCGGUGGGAUAACCUUUAUAGGAGUCAGCCGUCUAAGGUAGGACAGAUGAUUAGGGUGAAGUCGUAACAAGGUAGCCGUAGGAGAACCUGCGGCUGGAUCACCUCCUUUCUAAGGAA
rnacentral:rRNA from 2 species